UAAUAUAUUUUUAAAUUAUGGCGACACUUAUGAAAAAUAAAAGAUUUUUAUUUUUUAUUUUUUUUAAACUUUUUUAAUAAUGGAGUGUCCAUAAUUUUAAUUAUCAAGUGUAUUAGGUAAGGUUUUGCCAAAAGUUGUAGCUAAUGAAAACUUAAUCUUUCUAAAAAUUCGCCAAAAAUGGCAUUAGCAAGGGCAUUUUGGUCGUUUGCAUGAGUUUUUGGUGGUCGAAAAAGGUAAAAAGAGGCAAGAAAACACCAAAAUUAGUCAAAAAGCACCAAAGCUCGCCACACAAUGCACAGAGCCUCGCCUAGUGAACAAAGACGAUAAAAGAAUACUUCAAAGCCAAGUAACUCCAAGACAAAGAAAUAAAAAUUGCUAAGCGAAGUAUGACGGUUCAAGAUUUAAGGGUUAAGUUACUUCAUGGGCAAGGAAGGAUUUGCUUGUUAACUGAGCUUGAAGGUGCGCUUAACGAGAAUGGCAUAUAAGAACCCUAUAGUAGCGUUUCAGUCAGUUCUGUUAAGGAUAACUUAGUUUUAAUUAGUAGUUUUCUUGGAAAGUAGUGACAGAAGUUCAAUGUAUACCAAAAACUUAAUAAGAGAGGAAAAUAGAGGAACAUUGAGGGUGAAAACGUUGUUUGAGGAAUCAACAACAAAUGUUUUUCAACGUCUUUCUUCUAUGGCUUAAUUGCAAAACUACAAUGAGUAACCGUAGUUGAUUUAUCUAAUUUUUAUGGUAAGAUGUAGUCCUCAUAAUACUCAUGUAUCGAUUGUGAUAAUGACAUUUUAUGUACUUUUUCUUAUGUUUUAUUAUUGACGAAU